CCUACGGGAGGCUGCAGUGGGGGAUAUUGCACAAUGGGGGGAACCCUGAUGCAGCGACGCCGCGUGGGUGAAGAAGCGCCUCGGCGCGUAAAGCCCUGUCAGCAGGGAAGAAAAUGACGGUACCUGAAGAAGAAGCCCCGGCUAACUACGUGCCAGUAGCCGCGGUAAUACGUAGGGGGCAAGCGUUAUCCGGAUUUACUGGGGGGAAAGGGGGCGCAGACGGCGAUGCAAGCCAGGAGUGAAAGCCCGGGGCCCAACCCCGGGACUGCUCUUGGAACUGCGUGGCUGGAGUGCAGGAGGGGCAGGCGGAAUUCCUGGUGUAGCGGUGAAAUGCGUAGAUAUCAGGAGGAACACCGGUGGCGAAGGCGGCCUGCUGGACUGCAACUGACGUUGAGGCCCGAAAGCGUGGGGAGCAAACAGGAUUAGAUACCCCAGUAGUC
rnacentral:rRNA from 1 species